rnacentral:rRNA from 1 species
UACAGAGGUCUCAAGCGUUGUUCGGAUUCAUUGGGCGUAAAGGGUGCGUAGGCGGCGCGGUAAGUCGGGUGUGAAAUCUUGGAGCUUAACUCCGAAACUGCAUUCGAUACUGCCGUGCUUGAGGACUGGAGAGGAGACUGGAAUUUACGGUGUAGCGGUGAAAUGCGUAGAUAUCGUAAGGAAGACCAGUGGCGAAGGCGGGUCUCUGGACAAUUCCUGACGCUGAGGCACGAAGGCCAGGGGAGCAAACGGG